rnacentral:sRNA from 1 species
AAAGAUUGCGCCCAGCCCGCCCAGGCCGGGAAUAAAGGGACGCGGGGCGCCGGAGGCUGCACAGAAGCGAGUCGGACUGUGCUCGCUGCUCAGCGCCGCACCCGGAGGAUGAGGCUUGCCGUGGGAGCCCUGCUGGUCUGCGCCGUCCUGGGGCUGUGUCUGGCUGUCCCUGAUAAAACUGUGAGAUGGUGUGCAGUGUCGGAGCAUGAGGCCACUAAGUGCCAGAGUUUCCGCGACCAUAUGAAAAGCGUCAUUCCAUCCGAUGGUCCCAGUGUUGCUUGUGUGAAGAAAGCCUCCUACCUUGAUUGCAUCAGGGCCAUUGCGGCAAACGAAGCGGAUGCUGUGACACUGGAUGCAGGUUUGGUGUAUGACGCUUACCUGGCUCCCAAUAACCUGAAGCCUGUGGUGGCAGAGUUCUACGGGUCAAAAGAGGGUAAGUUCUCCCUGGGACCCCAGGAAGGAGUUGUCAUCCUUAUUCUAUAUGCUGAGUGCUGUGUUUUACAGGCAGGUUUUGGAUAUCAGAUAUAAUGAACAUUCAUCUUUGGAGAGUGAGUAGAGAAUGAGGGGCCCUGUCAGCUGCCACAGCCACACAUCAAGGCCUCUGGGGGCUUUGGGCUGGCGGGCUGGUGCUCCUAAA